AACAAUGGGAAGUCUGUGCAAGAGCCCCAGAGUGGGACUUCCCCAGGAAGGAAAAGGGACUCAGGGAUCUUAUCUACCUUAUACUUGUUGCCUUGGAAACAACCCUGUGUCCUCCUCUUUGCUAAUAUCACCAGAACUUCAUUCGUUCUCUCCCACAUAGUGCUGGUAUACAUCUGGGGCCAAUGAAAUGUUAGAAAGUAAUGGUUCAUGUUGGGAAACCAAGGCUCAAACUUGAUCAACUUGGAAAAAAAAAAAAUUCUGCAGGAUGAUCUCUAAACAAUAAAGCCCCUC